UUUGUAGUCAUUAAGGCAGCCAUGAAACUAGGUGGGUUUACACCCCAGUUCUGCUACCUACUGUGUGAUCUUGAUUUAAUGCAAAACGCUUGACAUCACCAAACCUCAGUUUCCUCAUCUAUAAAAUGGAGCUCGUGUGGGGGAUUAAAUAUGAUGCUGUAUGUAAAGCCUGGCUCAAAUCGUUGCUAUUCUUAGAGUUUAGUGUUUGGGCCAAAUUGCCUCUGCAUAUCCUGCAUAUCCUGUGCUCAGUAUGGUGUGCGCUCUCCAAUGUGGAACUUCUGACAACUGUAAAGGUGAAGGCUGCCCUGGCCAUUUGAUGAGCUUGAGUGCUUUCAGUGAAGCCCCUGGGAAGCUGUGUUCUACAGAAAUGAUGACUCCACCAGUUGAUUAGGGAUGAUGGAAGAAAAACCGGGGAAGCUGUAACUGGAAAAGCCCUACAGGUCUGUUGAUUUUAUUAAACACCCAUGUCAGAGUUUAAGUCCUGUGAUAUUAGGCAAUAGUAUGAAUUAAUCAAGUCCUUAGCCAACUCA